rnacentral:rRNA from 1 species
UACUUAGUGGCGGACGGGUGAGUAACGCGUGAGAAUCUGCCUUCAGGACGGAGACAACAGUUGGAAACGACUGCUAAGCCCCGAUGAACCGAAAGGGAAAAUAUUUAUAGCCUGAAGAUGAGCUCGCGUCCGAUUAGCUAGUUGGCGGAGUAAAAGCCCACCAAGGCGACGAUCGGUAGCUGGUCUGAGAGGACGAUCAGCCACACUGGGACUGAGACACGGCCCAG